AUCCCAUUGUUCUAAGGUAAUAAAUCCUAUAAUUGCUGUAUCCUCAGAACCCAGCACGGGGCACUGCAUACGGUAGAUCUGCUUAACCAUGUACCAAAUGCAUCCGCCUCUUCCCCAACAUCCAUUACUACUGGAACCCACCAAGAACUGAAUUCCAUGGUACUUCUCAGGAUUCUUGAGGUCUGGACUAAGCCCUGGAUUGGGAAAGACGUGUUUAUGAUGCAGACCAGUUGGGGAGAUUUUUCUUGAAGGAGCAGCAGCUUGGGAAUAGCUGACCUGGUGAGAGCAUUCCUCUUCAUCUUGGCUCUGUCUGCUGUAGUUGGGGGGAAUGGUGGCUUGCAGCACCCUGACUC
rnacentral:lncRNA from 10 species